CCUACGGGAGGCAGCAGUGGGGAAUAUUGGACAAUGGGCGCAAGCCUGAUCCAGCCAUGCCGCGUGAGUGAAGAAGGCCUUAGGGUUGUAAAGCUCUUUCAGCGGGGAAGAUAAUGACGGUACCCGCAGAAGAAGCCCCGGCUAACUUCGUGCCAGCAGCCGCGGUAAUACGAAGGGGGCUAGCGUUGUUCGGAUUUACUGGGCGUAAAGCGCGCGUAGGCGGGUUGUUAAGUCAGGGGUGAAAUGCCGAGGCUCAACCUCGGAACUGCCUUUGAUACUGGCAACCUGGAGUUCGGGAGAGGUGAGUGGAAUUCCGAGUGUAGAGGUGAAAUUCGUAGAUAUUCGGAGGAACACCAGAAGCGAAGGCGGCUCACUGGCCCGAUACUGACGCUGAGGCGCGAAAGCGUGGGGAGCAAACAGGAUUAGAUACCCCUGUAG
rnacentral:rRNA from 1 species